rnacentral:rRNA from 1 species
GACGAACGCUGGCGGCGUGCCUAAUACAUGCAAGUAGAACGCACAGUUUAUACCGUAGCUUGCUACACCAUAGACUGUGAGUUGCGAACGGGUGAGUAACGCGUAGGUAACCUGCCUGGGAGCGGGGGGUAACUAUUGGAAACGAUAGCUAAUACCGCAUAAUAUUGAUUAUUCCAUGAUAAUUGAUUGAAAGAUGCUAUUGCAUCACUACCAGAUGGACCUGCGUUGUAUUAGCUAGUAGGUGAGGUAACGGCGCAACUAGGCGACGAUACAUAGGCGACCUGGGGAGGUGAACGGCCAAACUGGGAAUGAGACACGGCCCAGACUCCUACGGGAAGGAGCCGUAGGGAAUUUUCGGGCAUGGAGGGAAGUCUGAACGGGCAACGCCGGGGGGGGGAAGAAGGGUCUCCGAUCGUAAAGCUCUGUUGUAAGGGAAGAACGAGAGUGGGAGUGGAAAGUUCACACUGUGACGGUAUCUAACCAGAAAGGGACGGCUAACUACGUG